rnacentral:misc_RNA from 1 species
CGGGCCUCCUUAUAAGAGUGAAAAAAUAAAAGAUCGCAAACCCUAAAAAUCGACGACGAACAAGGGUUUGUUGAUCCCUAAUGAAUUACUAGCCAUUUUGCUGCAUUUUUCUGUUGCCGUGAAUUUGGAUUCUCCCGCCAACAUUACCAAUCCUGUUGCUUUCACCAUUUUCUUGCCUUCUUCAAGUUCAUCAUGGUAGCAACUGCUGCUACAUCCGCGUUUUAUCCUGUUCCUUCUUCAUCUUCUGACUCUGGAGCGAAGAACACCAAAAUUGGAGGUGGAUCUGGG